GUAGUACUAAUUUUUUUUUUUUUUUUUUUUUGAGGGAAAGGUAGCACGAGCUUUUAUUAAUUCCGUCGGAGUAAUGAUACUCUGCGGGGAAAGGUCCAGUACAAACAAGUUCUUCACAAGAUCCAGUAGUACUAAUUGUUUUUCCUUGAACAUACAUACGGUAAAUCGAUAAUACAAAGUAAUUAAGUAAAUCUCGUGCAUUACCAUAAAUACAUGGGUACAUUCGAGUAUUCUAAAUUUGUACUCGUAAGCUAUUUUUUAGGCAAGUAAAAGCCAACUACAACUCUGUAUUGUAAACGUAAACGUAAAAUUGUCUGCUUAAAGUGCUUAUAAAGUUUCCUAAAACCAAAAAAAACGACUCUACUGUAUUCUCUAUAAAAUAAAAUUUCUUCUCCCUUAAACUGUUUUCUGAAUCCUCCAUUGAAGCGGCUUUUGAGCUUUCUCUUCGAUCAGUCUCGAGUCUCCACCAUUGAAAGUAACGGCUUCUGAGAUGGGUGAUUAUUGGUCUAUGUUGCCCAAAGAUAUCCUUGGUAUAAUUGCAUUGAAAUUGGAUUCAAUUGAGGACUUGGUUUAUUUCUCUGCGGUAUGUCAUUCAUGGAAUCAUGCCUUCAAUAUGGUUAAACUCGAGUGGAGUCGUGUUGAUAAACCAACAACACCUUGGUUGUUACUAGGCGAGCCUACGAAUAAAAAUAAUGAUGAUGGUUGUCGGAAAAUAUUAAGUAUUGAAAAAAAUAAUAAGUGUUACGAAUUAAGUCUCCCGGAGACUUUUGGGGCGCGAUGUUGGGGUUCUCCAUAUGGCUUUAUCUUGAUGCUACACCUUAACAAGAAGAUCGAGUUAUUUAAUCCAAUCACCAAAGCUCGACUAAACCUCCCAUCCCUGCAAACGUUGCCAAUCGAUCCAGAAGAUGAUAUUUUUAAUGAUCAGUUAUACUUUGAUAUUGAUUGGAAAAAAUUGAGCGUACGCAAGUUCAUUGUCUUAAAAAUGCCUCAAAGUGAUGAUUUUCUUGUAAUGGCGAUCCAUUGGAGGCAUGACAAUCUAGCAUUUGCUCGUCUUGGAGACCAAACAUGAACACCAAUACAUACAUCUUGCGCUAGAUAUUAUCAAGUAAUUGAUGUGUGUUUUUGGGACGGAGUAUUACUCAUUUUAUAUCAAGACGGAACACUUGCUUAUUGUGAUAUCAUGAAAUCUGAUUUUACGGCCAAACUUUAUUUACCGGUUCCAUGUGAUGUUUUUAGAUAUGUACUUGCGGGGAAUGGAGAGAUGUAUAUGGUGGUGAUUGAUGGUCAUUUGCAUGUAGUCUCUCGAAUGAAGGAGGAUUUUUUAGAUGAUGAUGGUUAUUCGGACUAUCGUACAUAUGAUUUUUUUGUGUACAAGCUUGACGUUGAGAAUAAGUUGUGGGAAAAAGUUGAAUGUUUGAUGGAUGUUUCUUUUUUUGUCGGUAAUAACACAUCAAUGUUUGCUGAUAUAUCAAAUGCUCAAAGAAAUGCUAUCUACUUUACCGAUGAUGAAAAAGACUUUUGGAGACAUGGAAGGGUGAGAUUACGUGGACAUGAUAUGGGUGUGUAUGAUAUGACAUCUUUGUGUUUUAAAAAGUUUUACCAAGGUGACGAUGCACUUUGCGAGAAUACGUCUCCUACAUGGUUUAUACCCAAGUUUUAGAUAUUACUAGUUUUCCUUUUCUUUGAACAUUUUCGCUUAUAGAGAAGCUUAUCUAGUAAUAAAGGGGAUAUGCUAUUAUCCUUAUGGUAGUUUUGUAUGAAACUUUUAAGUUAAUUUGCACUAAAUUUCAAUUUGAAUAUUUAUGAUUUUCUUAA